UUGUCACAAGACGAACCAUGUGCUUUAUCAACAUGUCAUCAACAUUUAAGAUAUGGCUGACUAAGCUUUGUUUUUAGUCCAUAUGACCUCGUCGACCACAUUUCCACCUCUUUCCAAUCAUAAUCUUCAUAAUCUUCCUAUAAAUAGUUAAAUGCAACAUAUGUCCGUUCAAUCAACGACCGUUCAAUCAACGGCACAGUAACUAACCCAGACAGUUCAAUUUUACAUAUGUGAGCCUUGGCUGUUGAUUUUGGGUGAGGAGAGGAAAAACAUUCCAUGGCUUCUGAAGAGACUUGGCAUUUUGCAGCCGGAAUUGCAGGCAACGUGUUUGCUCUGGCACUCUUCUUGUCCCCAAUACAUACAUUUGUCAGAAUAAGGAGAAAUAAGUCAACUGAGCAAUAUUCGGGUUUGCCAUAUAUCUUUGCUUUCAUGAAUUGUUUGAUUUGUACUUGGUAUGGUCUUCCUAUCGUAUCCCGUGACAAUAUUCUAGUAGCUACAGUCAAUGGAACAGGAGCAUUUUUUCAGCUCUUCUACAUCUGCAUCUAUAUUGCAUUUUCUCAGAAGGAAGCACGGGUUAAAAUGGUAGCACUGCUAUCAUUGGUUAUUGGUAUAUUUACAGCAAUUGCCAUGGUUUCAUAUGAGUUUAUGAGGCAGCCACUGCGAAGGAUGUUUAUUGGAUGUCUUAGCAUAGCGUCUCUCAUUUCUAUGUUUGCAGCCCCAUUAUCUAUCAUUAAGCUGGUAAUUCAGACACACAGUGUGGAGUACAUGCCGUUUUAUCUUUCUCUUUCCACUUUUUUGAUGAGCACAUCCUUCUUUGCAUAUGGUCUUCUCGGCCAUGAUCCUUUCGUUUCUGCCCCCAAUGGGAUUGGGAGCUUCUUGGGAAUCAUACAAUUGGUGCUCUAUCUCCAUUAUAGAAGACUUAGUUGGAGAAGCUGUGACACGCAACCAUUGCUAAGCUCAAGGGUCUAAGAUUUUUCUAUAAUAAAUUACUCUAUAUCAUAAAAGAGACGUAAUAUUUCCAUACUCAUGUGUACAUGUUAUUUUUGAGAGCAUGAAGGUGUUUGGAUGCUUUCCGUCAACUAGGACCUGUUACCUGGACUAUGAUCCUAGAGAGUUGUAAUUGUUUAUGGUGUUGUUUAAGCUAUAUAUAUUCAUUCAAAAUUUUCAGCCAACAGGCUUCAAAUUGAGUUAACAAACUAUUUAUAACAAUUCAUUUACUGAUCA